GUGGGGAAUAUUGGGCAAUGGGGGCAACCCUGACCCAGCGACGCCGCGUGGGUGAAGAAAUCCCUCGGGAUGUAAAGCCCUGUUGUAUGGUAAGAGCAGAAGACGGUACCAUACGAGGAAGCCCCGGCAAACUACGUGCCAGCAGCGGCGGUAAUACGUAGGGGGCAAGCGUUGUCCGGAAUUACUGGUCGUAAAGCGCACGCAGGCUGAAUUAUAAGUCGGUAGUCAAAUACGGAGGCUCAACUUCCGGAUAUCUAUCGAUACUGUAAAUCUAGAGUAUGUGAGAGGGAAGCGGAAUGCCCGGUGUAGCGGUGAAAUGCGUAGAUAUCGGGAGGAACACCAGUGGAGAAGGCGGCUUCCUGGCACAAUACUGACGCUCAUGUGCGAAAGCUAGGGCAGCGAACGGGAUUAGAAACCCGAGUAGUCC
rnacentral:rRNA from 1 species